CCCUCAAGACUUUGUUGUAUAUUGAUUGAUUAUUUCUCAGAAAAAAGUAAGAAACAUCUAUUAUUGUUUCAAGCAUGCUUAUGCAUUUUUUUGUUUAAUAUACCUUUUUAUUAUUAUUAUAUAUAUCUAUAUGAAUCAUGAUCAUCUUCAAAACCAUAUAACUUAAUAAUCAAAAGUAAAAACCUUAUUUCUUUCUGUCCUUUCAAUUGUUCUUGUUUUCUUGCUUUUUUCAUCUUUAUUCAAAGAAGACAAUAACAUCACUUUAAGGUUCUUCAACAAUCAUAUUCUGUCUUUGUUUUCAACCAUUCAAUUUGUGACAAAAAUUCCAUAUUUAUGAUGUUUCAAAGAAACCCUUUACACACAAACCCUGAACCAUGCAACCAUCUUUCAGAUUACAAGCUUAAACAUGGUUUCAAUGGCUACAAAGCCAUUCAAAAGCUACUUGUAACUUCUCCAAUUGGUAGAACUAGUUUGAAAAAACCAAAUUUAAGAAUACUCAGAUGCAGUUUUUGUAAUGGGUGUGAAAAGAGGGUUUUUUUAUGUUUGAUUUGUUCUUCAUUCUGUUGUUUGGAUCAUACCCUUUUGCAUAUUCAAACUGAAAAUGGUCAUGAUUUGUUUGUUGAUGUAGAAAGGUGUGAACUUUACUGUGGGGUGUGUUGUGAUCAAAUUUAUGACCCUGAUUUUGAUCAAUUUGUUAUGGCUAAACAUUCAAUGGUUUUGCCAAAUGGUGUUGUUGGAAAUGAGAGUAUUGGUCAGAGGUUGAUUAAGAGAAGGAGAUUGGUUUCUGGGGUUGGAUUGUAUUUGCAAAAUGAAUCUAAGUUUAGAUUUGAAACCAAAGAUCUGAGGGGAAAAUCUUGUUUUCCUGAAGGUUUGAGGGGCUUGAACAGUUUAGGUAGUACUUGUUUUAUGAAUUCUGUGUUGCAAGCAUUGCUACAUGCACCUCCAUUCAGGGACUAUUUCUUGAGUGGUGGACAUAGUUUGGAAGAUUGUAAAAGAAGAACGACGGAACGGUUGUGUUUGAUUUGUGAUAUCAAUACUGUUUUUUCAGCUAUGUAUUCCGGUGAUCGAAAUCCUUAUAGCCCUGCUCAGUUUCUCUACAGCUGGUGGCAGCAUUCAGCAAAUUUAGCGAGUUACGAACAGCAGGAUGCUCACGAGUUUUUCAUUUCAAUGUUAGAUGCAAUUCAUGAGAAAGAGGGCAUAACAAAGAAUGGAAGCAAAGGCAAUGGUGGUGACUGUCAAUGCAUUGCUCAUAGAGUGUUCUAUGGACAAUUGAGAUCAGAAGUUACAUGUAUGGCCUGUGGAUUCACCUCAACAACCUAUGACCCUUUUUUGGACAUUUCACUUAAUCUCGAUAUCAAUAUAUCUUUGACCGAAAAGGGUAAAAAACUUACCAAACAAAAUGCGGAUGACAACAUGUCGACACUUCUCGGUUGUUUGGAUUUGUUCACUCGGCCAGAGAAGCUAGGGUCAGAUCAGAAACUUUACUGCCAAAAUUGUAAGGAGAGGCAGAAUGCAUUGAAACAAAUGUCUAUUAGUAAACUCCCUUUGGUACUUACUUUGCAUGUAAAACGAUUUGAGCAUUCUUUCGUUAAGAAGUUAUCGAGAAAGAUUGACCGCUACCUACAAUUUCCAUUCUCCUUGGACAUGACUCCAUAUUUGUCCUCUUCUAUCCUCAGAGCCAAAUAUGGAAAUCGAAUUUUUAAUUUUGGAGGCGAUGAAUCAGAUACAUUUUCCAAGUUCGAGAUAUUCGCAGUGGUGACACAUUCGGGGACGCUCGAGUCUGGCCAUUAUGUUACUUUUGUACGGUUAAGGAAGCAAUGGUAUCGAUGUGACGAUGCUUGGAUAACGAAGGUUGAUGAGGCAACGGUAAGAGCUUCACAAUGUUAUAUGAUCUUCUAUGUUCAGAAGACUUUGUACAAUAAAGCAAAUGAAGAUUUGAGCCACCUUCCAAAUUCACCUGGAAGAGAGAUUUUGAUUCCUAUCGCUGGUUGUUGCUAGAGAGGAUAUUAAAGAGAGUACAUGGCAUCAAAACCAAAGAGAUCCCUGAAGCCAAUGCUCAACGAGAGAACCCUUUCUCAUUGAUUCUCUCGCUUGGCUUUGGAGAAUCACAGUUUGUAGUUGACAAAAACGAUUUUCAGCGGAUACUGAUAAAUUCAAACUGCGACAAGGUGGAUGUGGAAACGAAAAACGAGGUUGCUAAUUGGAUAUAUGCAUGUGGAUAUGUUGACCGCAGUUUGAAACGGAGAUUGAUGAGUCAGAAGCAACUCGAACUCUUCAACAACUUCCUACAAUUAUGCUUAAUGAAAUUCUUUAAAUGCAGGUUAGUCAUGCACAUAACUCUUCAACAACUUCCUAUAAUAAGAGUUGUUCAACCACCAUUCUUUUUUCUCUACCAAGGGAAUAACAUAGAGAAAAAAGAAAAAUCAAGGGACAAGAAAGGGGUUAUGUAGAUGAUUGUUUCUAAUUUUUGGGUGAAGGAACUUUGUAUUACUCAUGACCCUUUUACCUUGAGAGUGUGGAUUUGAAAAAAGAGGUUGCUUCAUUGAUGCAUAACAAACAAGGGUAUUGUUAAAGACAUGUUUGUUCAUUCAAAGGUGAUGUGAGGAAUAUUAUGGAUUUAACUUAAAGGCUCUUAUAUUUCCUUCUCAUAAGGAUGAAGAAAUGAAAAAACUUCCAUUAAACAAAAUAAAUAGAGCUAGACAGAUAAGUAGAGCUGCGUAGCAGAUGAGUUCAGUCGAUUUUUGGCACAAAAAAACCUAUGAUCAACUAAAGCAUGGAAUGUUACAAAUGGUAUUAGGGCAUACCUAUCCGAGUAUGAUGUGGUUGGGUGAUGAAUCAAGCGGAAGUUGGUGGGCAUGUGACACAUGAUGUUGACGAGGCUGGGGAGUAAUUGUCGGUGCAUAAUGCAUGUUCAAUGAGCAUCUUCAGUUGGCGACAUUUAAAGUAUUUUGGGAUGUUACAAAGUCCCACAUAAACUUGUCAAAAAA